UCCCCUCAGUAGCGGCGAGCGAACAGGGGAGAGCUCAGCACCGAGUCUCGCGGGUGUAUGCUCGCCGAGAAUUGUGGUGUUUGGGAGGGUUCAUACAUCCCGGGGUCUUGCGGCGAGUCCAAGUCCAUCUUGAAUGGGGCCACGGCCCGCAGAGGGUGCCAGGCCCGUAGGACCGUUGCUGAUCUCGGGAGAACCUCUCCUUAGAGUCGGGUUGC
rnacentral:rRNA from 1 species